CCUACGGGAGGCAGCAGUGGGGGAUAUUGCACAAUGGGGGCAACCCUGAUGCAGCGACGCCGCGUGAGCGACGGAGUACCUCGGUAUGUAAAGCUCUGUCAGCAGGGAAGAGAAUGACGGUACCUGACCAAGAAGCCCCGGCUCAAUACGUGCCAGCAGCCGCGGUAAUACGUAUGGGGCAAGCGUUAUCCGGAUUUACUGGGUGUAAAGGGAGCGUAGGCGGCAGGGCUAGCCUGAUGUGAAAGCCCGGGGCUCAACACCGGGAUUGGAUUGGAAACUGCGCAGCUCGAGUGCCGGAGGGGCAGGCGGGAAUACGAGAGUAGCGGUGGAAUGCGU
rnacentral:rRNA from 1 species